UACAGAGGGUGCGAGCGUUGUUCGGAAUUAUUGGGCGUAAAGGGCGCGUAGGCGGUGCGGUAAGUCACCUGUGAAAUCUCCUGGCUCAACUGGGAGCUUGCAGGCGAAACUGCCGUGCUGGAGUGUGGGAGAGGUGCGUGGAAUUCCUGGUGUAGCGGUGAAAUGCGCAGAUAUCAGGAGGAACACCGGUGGCGAAGGCGGGUCUCUGGGCAAUAACUGACGCUGAGGAGCGAAAGCGUGGGGAGCGAACAGG
rnacentral:rRNA from 1 species